GCAGAGCUGUGUGAUUGUGUGUGUCUGCGGAUCCGCAGCUCUAACUGCGGACAGUUUGCUAAGCCCGUUAGUGCCCUCGGUCGAGACUCACGCCACCGUCAUGUCCCGUUACCUGCGCCCCCCCAACACGUCUCUGUUUGUCAGGAACGUGGCGGACAAUACCAGGUCUGAAGAUUUACGGCGUGAAUUUGGUCGUUAUGGUCCUAUAGUUGAUGUGUAUGUUCCGCUUGAUUUCUACACUUGCCGUCCAAGAGGAUUUGCCUAUGUUCAAUUUGAGGAUGUUUGUGAUGCUGAAGAUGCUUUGCAUUUGGACAGAAAAUAGAUUUGUGGACGUCAAAUUGAAAUACACUUUGCACAGGGGGAUCGGAAGACACCAAAUCAGAUGAAAGCCAAGGAAGGAAGGAAUAUGUACAGUUCUUCCCGUUAUGAUGAUUAUGAUCGAUACAGACGUUCUAGAAGCUGAAGUUAUGAAAGAAGGAGAUCAAGAAGUCGGUCUUUUGAUUACAACUAUAGGAGAUCUUAUAGUCCUAGAAACAGUGGACCGACUGGAAGACCACGGCGUAGCAGAAGCCAUUCCGACAAUGAUAGAUUCAAACAUCAAAAUCGAUCUUUUUCAAGAUCUAAAUCCAAUUCAAGAUCACGGUCCAAGUCCCAGCCCAAGAAAGAAAUGAAGGCUAAAUCACGUUCUAGGUCUGCAUCUCACACCAAAACUAGAGGCACCUCUAAAACAGAUUCCAAAACACAUUAUAAGUCUGGCUCAAGACAUGAAAAGGAAUCAAGGAAAAAAGAACCACCUAGAUCCAAAUCUCAGUCAAGAUCACAGUCUAGGUCUAGGUCAAAAUCUAGAUCGAGGUCUUGGACUAGUCUUAAGUCCAGUGGCCACUGAUAGUAUAAACCAUGAUAAUUUUUAGGCAUGUAUCAUUCAUUUACUCAUAGUUUGGUUUACUUAAAUUAUCAGGAAUACAAUGUUGCAAUGAUGCUUAAAAAACAUUUGUUAGUUUUCCCUGUACCAGGCAAUGGUUAUAAUUAAAAUAUGCUGUUGA